rnacentral:sRNA from 1 species
UCAAGCAUGGGUGUCUCUGGCAAGUAUUCCUUCCUAGAUGAAGCAGCGUAUUGCAAUCACCUUGAUGUUUUGAGGCUUCUUAGUAAAACUACCCUCACCUGUCUAGGAGACUUCAAGCAACUCCACCCAGUGGGUUUUGAUUCUCAUUGCUAUGUUUUUGACAUCAUGCCUCAAACUCAACUGAAGACCAUCUGGAGGUUUGGACAGAAUAUCUGUGAUGCCAUUCAGCCAGAUUACAGGGACAAACUCAUGUCCAUGGUCAACACAACCCGUGUGACCCACGUGGAAAAACCUGUCAGGUAUGGGCAGGUCCUCACCCCCUACCACAGGGACCGAGAGGACGACGCCAUCACUAUUGACUCCAGUCAAGGCGCCACAUUCGAU